GAUGAAGAACGUAGCGAAAUGCGAUAAGUAGUGUGAAUUGCAGAAUUCAGUGAAUCAUCGAAUCUUUGAACGCACAUUGCGCCCUAUAGUAUUCUGUAGGGCAUGCAUGUUCGAGCGUCAUUUGUACCUUCAAGCUUUGCUUGGUGUUGGGUGUUUGUCCUCUUCCUGGUGUUUGGACUCGCCUUAAAACAAUUGGCAGCCAGUGUUUUGGUAUUGAAGCGCAGCACAAUUUGCGAUUCUGGCCUUAAAAUACUAGCGUCCAUAAGUACAUUCUCACUUUUGACCUCGGAUCAUGUAGGGAUACCCGCUGAACUUAAGCAUAUCAAUAAGCGGAGGA
rnacentral:misc_RNA from 1 species